UCCCGAUAAAGCCCCGGAGCUCUCCAGGCUGCUCCCAGGGCAAGGGUGAGCGCCGCGCACGCCCAGCCCGGAGACACAACAAACGCCCGCUGAGAGCUUUAAUUGCGUUGCAAUCAUCUGCUGGUAUCAAGGAAUGGCGAGGAGAGUCAAAACAGGCACUUUGAUCCCGGCAGAAGCUGGAAAAACAGCAACGACUUGGCCAAGAUCCCUGUGGCUGAACAUUUACAGAGAGAAAGAGAGAAAAAAUAGAGAGAGUUUAUAACAAUCUCUGUAGAAGAAACAAAACAAUCCAGGAAAGAAAAUAUCCAAGGAUACGCCAAGGCAUCCAUCACUAAGUAUUGGGAAUUGCUAAAGCUAUUCUUUACUCCAAACCACCUGCUUAAAACAACGAAAAAAAAAAAAAAAAUAAAA